rnacentral:lncRNA from 1 species
CUCUCCCCGUCGUCGCGGCUGCUGCUGUGGCUCAGCAAUGUCGAGCGCUGGCCGGAGAGGGUAUGCGCUAGUAUUGUUGACCUGUCUGACCUUUGAUACACUCUUCGUAUUGUUGGAGACUAAAGAAUAAUUUUCUUCCUAUGCCGACCAUUGGUAACCAGUUAGAAGUAUCAUGUACUACGUAUACUGUCUCCCUUCAAAUGAAAUCGAUUUUGGAUAAUAAUUUGAUUUUCUUUUCUCACAAAAGACGUGCAAUCAUCUCAUUGCAUUGAUUUUUCAAUUAAAUCUUUUGUUGUGACAAGGUGAAUCUGUGUGAAUUUUCGAGGCUGUCAAUAAUAGUGUAGAGGAGUCAUCCCAUUGGCAUGUUUCCC